rnacentral:lncRNA from 1 species
AAACUCGGAAUGGUCAUAUAAAAAAACCUACAAUGUUAGAAGAUUAUAUGUUAACUUCUCUAGAUGUACUUUGUUUUACAUGUAUGCGUCAUUAGGUUACUGUUUUGUUGGUGUUUAUUUGAAAUCUAAUUAUCAUAUUCAUGUAAAAAUGUAAGUGCAGUACACAUUCAAAAUACGUCAGUGCAAUUUGCCAUAUCCAUACCUAUUGCUAAAGAUACAGUGAAUUUUGAGGACAUGAUCAGAAAGAUUGAUGAUUUUCGUACUUUCUUAAUGAUUUGUAAAAUAUCGAUGUAAUUAAGAACCUACAAAAGUCUAUACAUGUAGAAAAUUAAG